GGUUCCUUAGCUCAGUUGGUAGAGCAAUGGACUGAAAAUCCAUGUGUCCCCGGUUCGAAUCCGGGAGGAGCCACCA
rnacentral:tRNA from 3 species